rnacentral:lncRNA from 1 species
UUUGAUCGAGUACAAGCCGUAAGUCCUCAUUAGCCAUCAAUUUUAUAGGUGUUUUUUUUAAAAAAAAAAAGAUAAAUAUUAUGUUCAAACACACAAGCAAAAAAGUAAGGGACUUCAUUACUUUGGCCGAUAUAUGAUAAAUGUUGGCGUUUACAUUUUGAUGUAGCAACCAAUAACUAGAACCAUCUUAAAGCAUGGCGGCGCUAAUUUUUUUUUUGGAAUACUGAUUCUUGGUGAUGAAUAUUUUAACACCAAAUCAUCUUUCAUACAGUAGCAAUGCUUCAGUAACAAGAAGUAGCGUUGCAUAUUCCAAAGGGGAAUUUCACUGGAAAAAUAAUUAACGAAAAAAGAAGACAAGAGAGAAAACAAGAUUUAGAAGGCAAAAAGUAAGGAAUUGACCAAAAAGGAAGGCAAAAGUAAGGGAUCUCAAUGUGGUAAAACUUGUAUACAUUUAUGAAACCAAGAGAUUACAUCAAACACAGUCAUUGAGAAACCGGUUCUAAAGGAGCAAAACUGGAAGAUAAUAGUAAAAAGAAAAUAAACAGAUUCUAUUGCAUCAGCUAAACCGGAGAAUCCAUGGAGUUCAAACACAUUCCUAGACGAAGAAUGUCUACAAUGAAGCUUAGACUCUUUGAUACAUGAAACCAAAACAGAAAUCAUUCAAGACACAUUAUUGGGUCAGACCAAGAAAGCAACCUAUAAUAUUCUUUUCUCUCAAAAGAAUCUGAAGUCUUUUUUUUUUUAAUAUAUCUGACUCAAAAUCCACUGGAUAACAUUAAGUCAGAGCAAAAGGCAUAUCAGUCAACUAUGAACAUAUAUUGAAUUCUCGCCAGAAACAGUCACAUAUGUAUCUGCUCUCAAAUUCCAUUAUCUUCAGUUGAAUUUACCAGAAAAUACUCUGACUGGACUCUGUUUUCCCUCACUUUCUCAAAAACAAACGAAUGGGGAAUUAUUAAAUUCCAAUUUUUUUUUUUUUUUUUGUAGCUAAACGAGAGAAUCAGUGAGCGGAAGAAGUGCUUGUAAAUUCGCAAGUCAAUAACAAAAAAAAAAAAACUAUUCUUAAAACGGAUUGAAAAAUGAUGGUUGACAAAGAGGCAAACGCUGGAUGCAGAGGUUUAUCGAUCUGUUCAUGCUUUUGAAUUUCUUUCCAGCAACCAAAAAAACAAAAAAUCCCAGGAAGAGAUCGAUGAACCGCUGCCUCCAGCGACUUUCACUCUUUUUUUUCUUUCUAUAGUUUCCUCAAACUGAUGUCCAUUGAAAUAGAAUGGAAAAAGAAAGCGGAAUAAAUUUUCCGAGUUGGAGCAAACAAUAAAUCUCAGAUCUGAAAAAAUCAAAUGGUCAAAACAAGAACCAGAACUAGUAAUAGCUGGAUCUUCACUACCUUAGUAAUCGAGACAAACGCAAAUGGACCAAAACCUACUCUAUAUAAAUACACAUGCAUGAUGAAUCUACAGAAAAAACUGGGACAAAGAGGAAUCUGAGAUUUUGGAGUAGAUGUAAACUAUAUGAAUUCACACCAAAUUAGUAAAAAAAUAAAAUAAGGAAACAGAGUGAUGAAGUUUGAAACAGUCAACCAGAAUCUGAUGAGAUACCAUUUGUGAUUUGCCUAUUUCUCUCUCUCUCUCUAGCUCUCUCUCUCUCUCUCUCACACGAUUUUGUUGACAAUGUGGAUCAGGUUACGAGUUUAACAGAACAACACAUUUAAAGAUCCUAUAGCGAUUUUUUUAUUUAUUAAUUGAUGACCCAUAUGAUCCGGAUCAUGGCAGCCGAUGAUCAGAGCUAGCGAGCUCACCAGACACUGACUUUGUAUUUUAGUAGUUUUGUGUGCUAG